GAAGCAACUCUAAACUUCAUAGUUGUGAUUAACAUCAGAUAAGUGGAGUUCCACCUAGUACUCACAUCCAACGGCAAGCUUCCCCUAGUCAGUUUACCAGCGUCUACUUUCUGCUUGUUAUGAUAGCCUGUUACCUGAAGCUCGAACGUAGACCACAGCAUUACGGACAGCAUUGACACUCUAAUCUGCAUCAUCCAUUCCAUCCUUCACGAUGAGGUUGAUGAUAUGUGCACUACAUCUCAAAUGCAUCAUCUCACCAUC
rnacentral:lncRNA from 1 species